CAGCAGCCGCGGUAACACGUAGGGUGCGAGCGUUAAUCGGAAUUACUGGGCGUAAAGCGUGCGCAGGCGGUUGUGUAAGACAGGUAUGAGAUCCCCGGGCUUAACCUGGGAACUGCGCUUGUGACUGCACAGCUAGAGUAUGGCAGAGGGGGGUGGAAUUCCACGUGUAGCAGUGAAAUGCGUAGAGAUGUGGAGGAACAUCGAUGGCGAAGGCAGCCCCCUGGGCCAAUACUGACGCUCAUGCACGAAAGCGUGGGGAGCAAACAGGAUUAGAUACCCGAGUAGUCCCUGUCUCUUAUAA
rnacentral:rRNA from 1 species